rnacentral:rRNA from 1 species
CGAACGCUGGCGGCGUGCUUAACACAUGCAAGUCACGGGGGCCCGCAAGGGUAACCGGCGAACGGGUGCGUAACACGUGAGCAAUCUGCCGAUGUCUGGGGGAUAGCCGGGCCAACGCCCGGGUAAUACCGCAUACGCUUGUUGGGGGACAUCCCCUGGCAAGGAAACCUCCGGGGGACAUCGAGGAGCUCGCGGCCUAUCAGCUAGUUGGUGAGGUAACGGCUCACCAAGGCGACGACGGGUAGCUGGUCUGAGAGGAUGGCCAGCCACAUUGGGACUGCGACACGGCCCAGACUCCUACGGGAGGCAGCAGUGGGGAAUAUUGCGCAAUGGACGAAAGUCUGACGCAGCGACGCCGCGUGUGGGAUGAAGCCUUUCGGGGUGUAAACCACUGUUGCCCGGGACGAACAUCCUCUUUCGAGAGGACUGACGGUACCGGGUGAGGAAGCACCGGACUAACUCUGUGCCAGGCACGC